UUGUUUGCUUGUAUUUGGUUUUCUUGAAAAUAUUUUCAUCAUUUUCCACCAUUUGUUUGGUGGAAAAUAAACUCAAUUUUUUCCAAAACAUGGGAAAAUAAGCCUUCUUUUGGGGAAAAUGUCUUACACUUUUUUAUUCUGUAAGACAUUUUCCAAAAUACGGGAAAAUUUUUCUCUCCUUUCCUCUUCCCCUUCCCCUUCCCCUUCCCUUUCCCCUUCCCGUUGGGUUGCAAAAGAGAAAAAUUUACUGAUAGAAACUAAAGGAAGAGUCUGGAAAAGGCAAUGUUAAACAUAUGUAGCACGAAAGAUUCUCUUUCUUUUAACCUUUUAUUGAAUUUUUUUUUUGUUGAUUCACAAACUGAAAAUUGCAGACAAAAACCAUAGCCAAUAGACAGCGAAAGAUGGAGGAGAGGAGUAGUGUCUCAUGGAAUGCUGCUGUUGUUGGCUCUUCACGCCGUCAACGAAUAUUACCGGCUGCCGUGGAAGCCAUCGGUCACCACCAAUCUUCUCGCCGCCAACACUCUGAUUUAUCUCAGGCCUUCGUUCCUAGAUUUUCUCCUCUCUUUUGUUGAUGAGGUUUGGUUCAAUCCUCAUCUUUUUCUCAAGGUAUCUUAGGCACUUGAAUAUUCCAAAGUUUUCCUUGUUCAUCUGCUGAUUUUGGAUUCUCAUCGUUAAAUUCAAAAAAAAAAAAAGAAAAAAAAGAGAGAAAGGGUAAAAUGAAAAUGGCGUCGGCUCAGGCCUUGCAUUCUUCACGGAAACAAGAGCAUCUAGAAGCUGGGAAGCACCGGUUGGAGGAAUUCCAUAAGAAAAAAACAGCCGAGAAAGCCAAGAAGGCAGAUCUACCUCCCAAACCAAUGUUUUUGAGUUAGCUUAAAUGAAAAACAGCAAUUAGAAUAUCUUUUUGUUAACUUAAAUGAAAAACUCUGCUCAAUCUACCUCUCGAAGCUGAUUGUUGCUAAUGAGAAUAUCUUGGAGAAGAAGCAUGAUUUUUACUCUACCAAAUAGAAUGAGGAUUUUGCUGCUUUGGAGCAAGUAGUCACAUUUUCUAUUUUUAGGGUGCCACUGUGUCCAGGUUUCUAAUAAUUAUUGUGUUUUAUGGUUCAUCCCUUGGGCAAGUUAUACUGCUUGUAAUAACAAUUUCCUUACUAACACAAAUAAACAUUUUUUGAAGUGUACUUUUUUAUGUCUUAGAAA